GAUGAACGCUAGCGGCAGGCCUAAUACAUGCAAGUCGAACGGUGUCUUCGGACAUAGUGGCGCACGGGUGCGUAACACGUAUGCAACCUACCUUACAUUGGGGGAUAGCCUUUCGAACGGGAGAUUAAUACCGCAUAGACAGUAGCUGGGCAUCCAGCAGCUGUUAAAGAUUUAUCGAUGUAAGCUGGGCAUGCGUCCAAUUAGCUAUGUGGUGAGGUAACGGCUCAACAAGGAAAGGAUUGGUAGGGGACCUGAAAGGUUAAUCCACCACCCUGGAACUGAGAUACGGGCCAGACUCCUACGGGAGGCAGCAGUAGGGAAUACUGGGCAAUGGACGCAAGUCUGACCCAGCCAUGCCGCGUGCAGGAUGAAGGCGUUAUGCGUUGUAAACUGCUUUUAUACAGGAAGAAACGACUCUUGCGAGAGGCAUUGACGGUACUGUAUGAAUAAGCACCGGCUAACUCCGUGCCAGCAGCCGCCGUAAUAC
rnacentral:rRNA from 1 species